rnacentral:rRNA from 1 species
CCUACGGGUGGCAGCAGUAGGGAAUCUUCCACAAUGGGCGCAAGCCUGAUGGAGCAACGCCGCGUGAGUGAAGAAGGUCCUCGGAUCGUAAAACUCUGUUGUUAGAGAAGAAAGUGCGUGAGAGUAACUGUUCACGUUUCGACGGUAUCUAACCAGAAAGCCACGGCUAACUACGUGCCAGCAGCCGCGGUAAUACGUAGGUGGCAAGCGUUAUCCGGAUGUAUUGGGCGUAAAGGGAACGCAGGCGGUCUUUUAAGUCUGAUGUGAAAGCCUUCGGCUUAACCGGAGUAGUGCAUUGGAAACUGGGAGUCUUGAGUGCAGAAGAGGAGAGUGGAACUCCAGGUGUAGCGGUGAAAUGCGUAGAUAUAUGGAAGAACACCAGUGGCGAAAGCGGCUCUCUGGUCUGUAACUGACGCUGAGGUUCGAAAGCGUGGGUAGCAAACAGGAUUAGAUACCCCAGUAGUC